rnacentral:rRNA from 1 species
GGCGGACGGGUGAGUAAUGUAUAGGAACUUGCCUAAUAGUGGGGGACAACGUGUGGAAACGCACGCUAAUACCGCAUACGCUCUACGGAGGAAAGCGGGGGAUCUUCGGACCUCGUGCUAUUAGGUAGGCCUAUAUUGGAUUAGCUAGUUGGUAAGGUAAAGGCUUACCAAGGCGACGAUCCAUAGCUGGUUUGAGAGAAUGAUCAGCCACACUGGGACUGAGACACGGCCCAG